GCCACCUAUCCAAGCUUGUUUGCCAUCAUGGAGCCUCUCCGAGUAAUAAUAACGGACUUGAUCUUCGGCUUCUACCAUCGGAACUAUCCCGUGUGGUAAAGGGGGGAGGCUUCCUUCCCGUCAAUCAGCGGCUUGAACUUCUCCAUCACACACGCCAAAGAAAGUCGCCAUAGCUUACAUGGUCAGACUGUUAUCAUCAAAAACCGAUUCCGGCUCGAAGAGAAUAUCGGAAAACGAGUUCCCUGCCCGUUGAGUGCGAAGGCUCUGACACCUAUCGUACGAACUUUGGACGAAGACGGACUGCCAGGAAAAAUUGCUGUUUGAUCGCAGGGAAAGAGUCCAGAUCCCUCCUUACAAGCGAACUAUCAAGAAAAGGCCCCAAAGGGGCGUUUUUUACCAUCUGGAUUACUCCGAACAACGCGUGAAAUCCAUCGCCGAGCAAAAAAGGCGGAAAGCCAGCGAGUGAACGACUGCCCAUGGUUAAUAGUGAGUGCAGUCCUCCCGCAAGAACCAGGCAGAGGCGGCCCGGGGAGCACCACCGACUGAACGCGAUCUAGGAUCGACAUAGAUUCGUCACUGUUGCAGCGGACGAAUAAAGCAUCAUCAAGGAC